rnacentral:rRNA from 1 species
GUGACUGCGUACCUUUUGUAUAAUGGGUCAGCGACUUAUAUUCUGUAGCAAGGUUAACCGAAUAGGGGAGCCGGAGGGAAACCGAGUCUUAAUUGGGCGUUAAGUUGCAGGGUAUAGACCCGAAACCCGGUGAUCUAGCCAUGGGCAGGUUGAAGGUUGGGUAACACUAACUGGAGGACCGAACCGACUAAUGUUGAAAAAUUAGCGGAUGACCUGUGGCUGGGGGUGAAAGGCCAAUCAAACCGGGAGAUAGCUGGUUCUCCCCGAAAGCUAUUUAGGUAGCGCCUCGUGAAUUCAUCUCCGGGGGUAGAGCACUGUUUCGGCUAGGGGGCCAUCCCGGCUUACCAACCCGAUGCAAACUGCGAAUACCGGAGAAUGUUAUCACGGGAGACACACGGCGGGUGCUAACGUCCGUCGUGAAGAGGGAAACAACCCAGACCGCCAGCUAAGGUCCCAAAGUCAUGGUUAAGUGGGAAACGAUGUGGGAAGGCCCAGACAGCCAGGAUGUUGGCUUAGAAGCAGCCAUCAUUUAAAGAAAGCGUAAUAGCUCACUGGUCGAGUCGGCCUGCGCGGAAGAUGUAACGGGGCUAAACCAUGCACCGAAGCUGCGGCAGCGACACUCAGGUGUUGUUGGGUAGGGGAGCGUUCUGUAAGCCUGCGAAGGUGGCCUGUGAGGGUUGCUGGAGGUAUCAGAAGUGCGAAUGCUGACAUAAGUAACGAUAAAGCGGGUGAAAAGCCCGCUCGCCGGAAGACCAAGGGUUCCUGUCCAACGUUAAUCGGGGCAGGGUGAGUCGACCCCUAAGGCGAGGCCGAAAGGCGUAGUCGAUGGGAAACGGGUUAAUAUUCCCGUACUUGGUGUUACUGCGAAGGGGGGACGGAGAAGGCUAUGUUGGCCGGGCGACGGUUGUCCCGGUUUAAGCGUGUAGGUGUGUGUUCCAGGUAAAUCCGGUUCACAACACUGAGGCGUGACGACGAGGCACUACGGUGCUGAAGCAACAAAUGCCCUGCUUCCAGGAAAAGCCUCUAAGCAUCAGGUAACAUCAAAUCGUACCCCAAACCGACACAGGUGGUCAGGUAGAGAAUACCAAGGCGCUUGAGAGAACUCGGGUGAAGGAACUAGGCAAAAUGGUGCCGUAACUUCGGGAGAAGGCACGCUGACAUGUAGGUGAAGUGAUUUACUCAUGGAGCUGAAGUCAGUCGAAGAUACCAGCUGGCUGCAACUGUUUAUUAAAAACACAGCACUGUGCAAACACGAAAGUGGACGUAUACGGUGUGACGCCUGCCCGGUGCCGGAAGGUUAAUUGAUGGGGUCAGCGCAAGCGAAGCUCCUGAUCGAAGCCCCGGUAAACGGCGGCCGUAACUAUAACGGUCCUAAGGUAGCGAAAUUCCUUGUCGGGUAAGUUCCGACCUGCACGAAUGGCGUAAUGAUGGCCAGGCUGUCUCCACCCGAGACUCAGUGAAAUUGAACUCGCUGUGAAGAUGCAGUGUACCCGCGGCAAGACGGAAAGACCCCGUGAACCUUUACUAUAGCUUGACACUGAACAUUGAGCCUUGAUGUGUAGGAUAGGUGGGAGGCUUUGAAGUGUGGACGCCAGUCUGCAUGGAGCCGACCUUGAAAUACCACCCUUUAAUGUUUGAUGUUCUAACGUGGACCCGUGAUCCGGGUUGCGGACAGUGUCUGGUGGGUAGUUUGACUGGGGCGGUCUCCUCCUAAAGAGUAACGGAGGAGCACGAAGGUUGGCUAAUCCUGGUCGGACAUCAGGAGGUUAGUGCAAUGGCAUAAGCCAGCUUGACUGCGAGCGUGACGGCGCGAGCAGGUGCGAAAGCAGGUCAUAGUGAUCCGGUGGUUCUGAAUGGAAGGGCCAUCGCUCAACGGAUAAAAGGUACUCCGGGGAUAACAGGCUGAUACCGCCCAAGAGUUCAUAUCGACGGCGGUGUUUGGCACCUCGAUGUCGGCUCAUCACAUCCUGGGGCUGAAGUAGGUCCCAAGGGUAUGGCUGUUCGCCAUUUAAAGUGGUACGCGAGCUGGGUUUAGAACGUCGUGAGACAGUUCGGUCCCUAUCUGCCGUGGGCGCUGGAGAACUGAGGGGGGCUGCUCCUAGUACGAGAGGACCGGAGUGGACGCAUCACUGGUGUUCGGGUUGUCAUGCCAAUGGCACUGCCCGGUAGCUAAAUGCGGAAGAGAUAAGUGCUGAAAGCAUCUAAGCACGAAACUUGCCCCGAGAUGAGUUCUCCCUGAGACUUUAGGUCUCCUGAAGGAACGUUGAAGACGACGACGUUGAUAGGCCGGGUGUGUAAGCGCAGCGAUGCGUUGAGCUAACCGGUACUAAUGAACCGUGAGGCUUAACCUUAC